AACAUUUCAGUAAAAUAUAUUGGCUGAAUUUUAAGAAUUGCAUAGUUUUUUUUAGGGUUAAAUAUCUUCAAACAUAAAGAGCCAUAACGUUUGGUAGGGCCACAGACAUAUGAUGUUCAGCAGAUCCAAAUAUUUAGAAAAACACAAGCGGAUGUCAAUAUUCCCUGCUAAAAAUCCAGUGCUGGAUUCAUGUGCCAAAUGUCAAGAGUUCUAACAAUCAUAAUCUUAAGAGUUAUGGCUUGAAAUCCUGGGUUGCAAUUUCUUCCUUUUUUAUAAGAUCUAAAAAUAUAGACCUGUGGAAUGUGUUAGGAAGGUUUCUAUACAUAACCAAAAAAGCCACACAUAUUUUGACACGGAAGGACCCACCUGUCUUUGGGCUCCUCUUUACACCAUGCUCAUAAUUAUCCCACAAAAGAUCCCACAAAUAUUAGAAAUCACAUUUCUUGGUGAGGACAUGUUUUAUACAGGAGGCCCUCUAGAUAUUUGAUACGUGUAUUGUCUGUGAGUAUUGUCUCUGUUUACUGCAUGAACUGUGACGGUGCCCUCUUGUGGCAUGUGUUAAUUUUGUAUUCACUUUUAUUUAGUGACGCAAGUGGCUUGUUCAGUAUUUCCUGUUGGGUUUAAUUUACUUUUACCUUCAUACUAACCCUUUACAGAUUGAAUACAACUUUGGACUCUCACACCUAUGACUUCCAUUCUCAACUGUAAAUAUUUCUGUUUUUGUGGUACAGUCGUUGGAGUUUCUUUUUUUCGUACAAAUAUCUUGGCUCCUAAUUUGUUCUGAUAUAUUUGUGAUUUGAAAUCGACCCUCCUCUCUGAUGUUUUCUGUCAAUGUGUCAAAACGUGUAAAACUUUGUCUUGGGAUUGUAAUGUUAUAUGUUGUGAUAGUUUUGCUGAUGAGUGGAAGCUGCCCUUUGAGGUUAACUAUUUAUCUUACCUCCAUGAGCAGUAACAUCAUCUUCUUAUGUACGAACUCCAUAUUCUCCCAAAUGCUAAACAGUUUGCUCUGUAGAGGUUAACCACACAUUGGGCGGCUUCCACUUGUUAUCGUGUAAGUGUGCAUGCUCUGCAUAUUGUUCCCAGGGUGGAUCGGAGGAAAUGCGUGGAUCUUGUUGAUCUUCCCUGUUAAUAAUCUUAUAAACUCAAUUUAAUCUUAACCCGUUUAUGGAUUGCCCUAACAGCAGAGGAGCCAGUGGUAGAAGCCCCCCCAGAGGAGGCAGUAGAACCCCCUGCUGCUCCUGUAGUUGAGGAGGAACCACCAGCAGCAGAGCCAGUGGUAGAAGCCCCCCCAGAGGAGGCAGCAGAGCCCCCUGCUGCACCUGUAGUGGAGGAGGAACCAUCAGCAGCAGAGCCAGUGGUAGAAACCCCCCCAGAGGAGGCGGCAGAGCCCCCUGCUGCACCUGUAGUGGAGGAGGGUAAGAGAAGAGACAAUACUCUGAUUUCAUUCAUCGUAUUGGAAAGAUAAUAAGGUGCCAUUUAGUGCUUUUCUAUCUGACCUUAGUCUGUGUAGAAGAUAACACCCUACAGUUCAUCUUAAUGAAAAUAACCCUACAGAGAAAUACAACUAUUUUCUUUAGCCUUCCCUUGAUCUGGUCUGUUAGUGCAUUCACACCUAAUAGUCCACUUCUCUGGUGCACACCAGACCACA